GGUAAGAUGGCCGAGAGUUAAGCGGCGGAUUGUAGCUCCGUCUAUAGAGGUCAAACUCCUCUUCUUAUCA
rnacentral:tRNA from 1 species